GACGAACGCUGGCGGCGUGCUUAACACAUGCAAGUCGAACGAAGAGCGAUGGAAGCUUGCUUCUAUCAAUCUUAGUGGCGAACGGGUGAGUAACGCGUAAUCAUCCUGCCCUUCAGAGGGGGACAACAGUUGGAAACGACUGCUAAUACCGCAUACGAUCUAAUCUCGGCAUCGAGGAUAGAUGAAAGGUGGCCUCUACAUGUAAGCUAUCACUGAAGGAGGGGAUUGCGUCUGAUUAGCUAGUUGGAGGGGUAACGGCCCACCAAGGCGAUGAUCAGUAGCCGGUCUGAGAGGAUGAACGGCCACAUUGGGACUGAGACACGGCCCAGACUCCUACGGGAGGCAGCAGUGGGGAAUCUUCCGCAAUGGACGAAAGUCUGACGGAGCAACGCCGCGUGAGUGAUGACGGCCUUCGGGUUGUAAAGCUCUGUUAAUCGGGACGAAAGGCCUUCUUGCGAACAGUUAGAAGGAUUGACGGUACCGGAAUAGAAAGCCACGGCUAACUACGUG
rnacentral:rRNA from 1 species